UACGGAGACCCCUAGCGUUGUUCGGAAUCACUGGGCUUAAAGCGCGUGUAGGCGGGACGGUAAGUGCUUUGUGAAAUCCCCGGUCUCAACCCGGGAAUUGCUCGGCAUACUGCCGUUCUUGAGGCAGGUAGGGGUCGCUGGAACCUUAGGUGGAGCGGUGAAAUGCGUAGAUAUCUAAGGGAACGCCUGUGGCGAAAGCGGGUGACUGGGCCUGUCCUGACGCUGAGACGCGAAAGCGUAGGGAGCAAACGGG
rnacentral:rRNA from 1 species